AUUGAACGCUGGCGGCAGGCCUAACACAUGCAAGUCGAACGAGUGGCGGACGGGUGAGUAAUGUCUGGGAAACUGCCCGAUGGAGGGGGAUAACUACUGGAAACGGUAGCUAAUACCGCAUACCAUCGGAUGUGCCCAGAUGGGAUUAGCUUGUAGGUGAGGUAACGGCUCACCUAGGCGACGAUCCCUAGCUGGUCUGAGAGGAUGACCAGCGACACUGGAACUGUGACACGGUCCAGACUCGUACGGUGGGCAGCAGUGGGGAAUUUUGCACAAUGGGCGCAAGCCUGAUGCAGCCAUGCCGCGUGUAUGAAGAAGGCCUUCGGGUUGUAAAGUACUUUCAGCGUGGAGAUGUUACCCGCAGAAGAAGCACCGGCUAACUCCGUGCCAGCAGCCGCGGUAAUUC
rnacentral:rRNA from 1 species